rnacentral:tRNA from 1 species
GCGCCCGUAGCUCAGUGGAUAGAGCGCUUGCCUCCGGAGCAAGAAGUCCCGUGUUCAAAUCACGGCGGGCGUACCA